ensembl:lncRNA
GGAAGUUGUUGAAUGGUUUGUUUGGUGAGGACACUGCGUAGUGGUGAAGAAACAGUUGUUUGACCGUUUUAGCCUGUGUGGAUAAUUCAAUAUUUUUUGUUUCGUUCUACAAGUGUAUUGGAUGCUAUUGGAGUAACAUACAUGUUUGAAUUUGAAGAUCUUUAAGUGGUAUUCGUUUAUCACGACCCCUGUGUCGGUUUCGCCUACUGAAGAGCACUAAAUGAACAAAUCUAUGGGAUUGUUAUACAACACAAGUGUUCACGCGUCAAAACGACAUCUGAAACUACCAGUGGAUUAAAGUAAGUAGAUUUUUGCCGUUACAGCAAGUCAAAAAACCUUCUUUCCAUGGGUUACGAAUUGAUGACAAGUGCAUGCACUUGCAACGCGGACGGUGGAAUGUAAGAGAACACCGUCGGAUGGAAUAAUGUAAAAUGCUGGCUACGGAUUUCAGUGUUCAGAAACCAGAUGCCAUGGAUUAGACAAACCUUACCAUUUAAUUGUGUUUGGGACGUCUUUGUACAAUUUGUGUAAAUUCUAUAGUUACAGCGGAAUGCUGGGUUUUCGUUUGCCUUUGAAGUUUGCGUUCGUUUGUAACACAAUAACUGAAGAUGAUUGAGCACCUAGAUUGGCCACAAGAGGGUUGUCAGGCAUACAGAAAAGACCUAUGAAGAGAAACCGCUUAAAUGUAUAAAUGCUAGGAGAGGAACAUUUAAGACCGUUGACUGCAAAAUCUAAUGAAAUAGGCAGUCUUAUGGAAGAUGAUCAUUUAAGUAUUAUUGAGAACAAGGAAAGAGGAACCUUACGAGGAAUAUCUGAACAGUUUGUAGUGCAUAACACUUCAGUAUUGAGAUUCCUGGAAGAAAAAAAACAUCAUGCAGACCAAGAAUACUAGUUUAUGCCUAAAGUGGCAACUGCCCAGGAGUGUAUUGGAAGGAUUGAGGAGUGGAUUAAAGGAACCAAAGUUCAUGUGGAAAUAUCACACAUGUGACAGAGGUGACACAUGGACUGUGUCAGUAGUGUCUGUAGGGUUAGGGGUUAAGUCUGAGAAGUCUUAAUGGAAUGGAGUCUGUCAGCGGGCAGUCCUGUGCAUCAUCUGCAUCAAGUGCACGCCUUAGAGAACCAGCGAAGAGGGACACGGUAAGAGCAAAAGCAGCUACAAAGAAACAAGAAUGAAACAUAAAAGCCCAGCUCUAUGCAGAGAAGGAACAAUUCAAGUUCGAAAACCACUAGAGCAGCCUAAAAUCAAAGUAUGUGAAGCGUUUGGGGAAUCUCGGCAGCUGGGUAAUACCAGGGCGUAUGCUAUGCAAAAUACAUUGCAUGCGGAAGCUCUGCAGCAGAACAAUGAGGAUGAACAAGUCAAUCGUGUUCCUUUAUCGACUGAGCCCAAAUGCGGGAAGUGGAGGGCUCUUUUAGAAGACACACACACCUUUUCCAGGAGCCAGAACCAGGAUGUUCAGUGCACCAACAGAGUAACAGAGAACCUCUAGUGAGCCAGCAAAGUGAUGAUGAAAACAACAAUGUUGAUAACCUAUGGAGAGUGAUGCGAAGACAGGCGGACAUCACAGAGUUGCUUGUUUGUAAAGCAUCAGCAGUCAUCUCAACUACCUCAGAGACAUGCCCUAUAUUUCAGGUAGACACUCAAUUUUAGCAUUCAAGCACAAUAUUGACCCAGAAAAAAAAACUGUGCAAAUGAGCUGUACUUUCUGAAACAAUACACAGAGGGAGAGGUUAGGGAUUUUGUUCAGAGUUACCAGCACCUGUCAGCAGAUAAAGGCUACAGAGAAGCACUGUGAUUUCUUCAUGAUAAAUAUGGAAAUGAGCUGAUGAUUGCUACAGUAUACAUGGAAAAGGCAUUAAAUAGUCCUCUAAUAAAGUCAGAUGAUGGGAAAGCCCCUCCGUACAUUCUCACUGUUUCUAAUUAGAUUUUGCAUUACCAUGGAAGAUAUUGGCUACCUCAAUGAGAUGGACAACCCUACAAACAUGAGCAUCAUAAUCAACAAAUUACCAUACAAACCCAAAGAGUGAUGGACAACUGUUGCAUUUGAGAUCCAUGACAGAGACGACAGACGAGCCAGGUUCAGAGACUUUGUCAGACUUUUCAAAAAGCAGGCCAAAAUCAUCACAGAUCCCCUUUAGAGAUCUUCAGGAAACCGAACAGAAAGAAAAGAAGAUUGCAUUAGGAAAAAGGGCACUAAGAGACAAGAAAGGAAGUAGCUUCGUUACCAGCGUUACUCCAGAUAAAGAUCUACUAACAAACUGACAUGCAAAGUGUGAAGGUACUGACAUCCACUGCUGCUCUUACUGCUAAAGUCUAUUUUGUGAGGAAAACCAUGCUCUCGAAUAAUGUAUUUUCGAAUCAAAGACAGAAUAUGUUAAAGGAAAUAUGGGCUCUGCUUUGGCUGUCUGGUAGGAGGUCACCUCAGAAAAGACUGCAAAAAACGAAUGCUGUGCCAGGUAUGCUCGCAGAAGCAUCCUUAGCAACUACACUUUUCUAAAAAAGAGAGCUUAAGAGGAAAUGCAUGAAAAUAAAGUAUACAGUGUAACCGUAGAACAGUCUAAUGUCCAUACUGCUUUGGUAUCCCUGGACAAUGAAAUAGGUGUGAACUGGGGCCGGAGGAGUAGAAUGUUUUUCAAUUGUACCAGUUUGAAUUAAGCCCAAUUCUGCAAAGAGGCACUGGUUGCACAGCUGAACCUAAAGGGUAAGACCCCUGACAUGAUAAGCACCAUGGGUCCUAAGAGGUUUGUGACCAGCUUCAUUAGAAGUCAAAUGGUUAGAGGAGAACCGGUUCAUUGACCUACUUAGUCUUCACUCAAAAGACUAUUCCUGUGAGAAAAUAGAAUAUUCCAGUGCAUAAGGACAUUGACAGAUGGCCGUAUCUCAGAAGUGGGAUUGUCCUAUAUUAAUGCUGAUGUGGGACUUCUGAUAGGUACUAAUGUUCAAAGGGCACUAGAGCCGUGAAAGGUAAUAAACAGCAAAGACAAUGUGCCCUAUGAUGUCAGAACAUCUCAUGGCUGGAUUGUCAGUGAACCUUUAAGAGAGCAUAAAGACUUUGAUUUGGAAGAAGGCAAUCAACCAUGGGUUAAAAUCAAUAGGAGAUCUAUUAAACAUGUGGAACAGCUAUUGGUACAGCAGCUAAAUCAUGACUUCCCAGAAUGUACCUGUGAUGAUGAAUUAGAAGUACCUCAAGAAGACUGACAAUUCAUGGAUUCUGUCUCAUGCUCAAUACACCAUUCUAAUGGUCACUACUACAUAGGUCUACCCAUGAAAAGGACACCAGUCAAUAUGACAAUCUAAAGGCAGCUAUGCCUAACCUUAAGAAACUCUGCAAGCCCCCAAUAUUACUUGGAGAGUAGAAGGCCUUCAUGAACAUCGUGUGAAGUUGCCAGAUAAACCCCUGAACCAUGAUGAUGGCAAACUGUGGUACAUUCCUCACCUCUGAGUUUACCACCCACAAAAGAACCUAGUUGAACAACGAAUGUCUACAAGAGUGCUGACAGGUUUCGGGCAGGAAAAGGUUGCCAUGAUGGCAGAUAUUGAAGUUAUGUACUACCAGGCAGGAGUCCCUGAAGAUGACACUGAUCUUCUGUGUUUCCUGUGUUGGCCAGAGGGAGAACUUAGUCAGAACAUGGCUGAAUACAAAUGUUUGUGCAUCUGUUUGGUGCAACCUCAUCCCCCAGCAGUGCCAACUAUGCACUCCGACAGCAGAAGCUAAUAGAAGCAAGUCAUCACCUGAAGCUGUUGAUACAGUUCUUAGAAACGUGUAGGGGAUGAAUGUCAAAAUCAGUAAACAAUGAAGGUCAUGCAGUUAAAUUGCAGAGAGAGCUUACAGAACUGUGUGCUACUGGAGGUUUCCACCUUACAAAGUGGAUGAGUAACAACAAUACAUUUCUGACAUCUAUCCCAGAGAAUGAAAGAGCCUAAUUAUGUCCUGCCUGUUGAGGGCACUUUGGAGUCCGACUCCUUCAAGUUCAGGGUAAACAUGAAGAACAGACCCAACAAGAAGAGGGAUCCUUUCAGUGAAAGGCACCAUUUAUGACCCACUACGAUUUCUCUCACCAGUUAUCCUUCUGAUGAAGGUUUUCUUGCAGAAAUUGUCUAAAGAGAAGGUGAGCUGGGAUGAGGACAUUCCAGAGGUCCUUGCCAAGACCUGGUCGAAGAGGUUGAAUGACAAGCGAAAGUGGAUAUGGAACUGUCAUAUCUGAGGCUAACGAACAAUGAUGGUCGUGUACAUUAUGCCUUUAUGAUAGGAAAGUCAAGGGUAGUGCCGUUACAACAAACCACCACCCCACGGAAGGAACUAACUGCAGCAGUUGUUGUGGUAAAACUGGAUAAGAUGAUACGACAAGAGCUGCAGCUGAAGCGGCAAGAGUCCACGUUUCUGUACAGAUGGCACAGCCGUGUUAAAGUUAAUUGAGAAUGACACACUUUGUUUGUUGCCAACAGGAUUGCUAUGAUUAGAGACAACCAAGCCUAGUCAAUGGAGGUAUUUCAAUUCCAUAUUAAAUCCAGCGGACUGUGCAUCAAGAGCUCACAGGUCACAGCUGAGAAACUCAAAGAACGAGGACUGGAUUUGUGGACCACCCGUCUUGGAGAGAUCAGACGGUUUAUGGACAUUGAAAAUGGUAACGGAUGAUGCUGAGGUUAGGAAAACUAUCACUGUGAACUUAACCACCAAGUUAUUUUGGGCCUAUUGAGGUCAAGAGGAUGAAGCACUGUUAAAAGAUACAGUGUACUGUUUACUUGUAUGACAUCUAGAGCAAUUCACCUAGAGGUGGCUCAUUCCUUAGACACAGACUCAUGUCUAAACAUUAUUUGUCUUUUUGUAUGUAGAAGAGGGCAAGUAUCAAUCCUUGGUUCAGACAUCGGCACACAAUAUGUUGCCACAGAGCAUGAGGUGCUUGAAGCUAUACAGCAGUUGAAUCAAACCAAGAUCAAAGAUACUCUUAUGCAAAAGGACAUCCAAUGGAUUUUCAAUACACCUGCUGGGUUUCAUUUCGGUGGAUUAUGGGAAAAGCAGAUAGGGACAGUAAAAAAGGUUCUACACUCCGUGCUCAAACAGCAGUGUAUUGACAACGAAUGUCUUCAGAACAUGCUUUGUGAAGUGGAAGCAAUUAUCAAUGAUAUACCGAUCACAAAGUCAUCAAACGAUCCAAAUUAUCUGGAAGUGCUUAUGCCCAACCACCGGUUGUUGAUGAAGAAACAACCAUUGAUGCCUCCAGGAUUGUUCCAAAGAGAUACAAAGAAAACAUAACUAUUGUAUGCUUAACGCAGGUGGAAACCGACUCAAUACCUUGCAGACCUGUUUUGGAAAUGUUUGGUCUGAAUCCAUGGGGUUUGGAAGAGUCAUGUAGGCCACAGAAGACUGAAAAGGUUUGGUUUGUUGCGUGCUGGUCAAGACCAGGAAUAAUGUUUUAGAAUGACCUGUAGAUAAGUUGUGCAUACUUCUUAUAGCAGACACAAUGUAAAUUAUUAAUUUGCACUCUUUGUUAUUAAUUGUAAUUGUCAUCUUGCCUUACAAUUAGGGUCUGGAAUGUAAAAGCCAAAUGAAGUGAAUGGAUAUCUUUAGCCUUUUGUACAAUGUUGGUGGUUUUUCUCUAAGUGCUGUAAACGUUUGUUUGGUGAGAACGUAGUAGCCUGUGGAUAAUUCUAUAUUUUUUGUUUCCUUCUACAAGUUUAUUUGAUGCUGUUGGAGUACCAUACAUGUUUGAAUUUGGAGAUAAAACUGUUAAAAUAAAGUGUUACCCAUUUAUCACAAUCACAACUCCGGUUUCGGUUUCGUGGAUCGCCUUCUGAAGAGCACUAGAUUAACAAAGCUAUGGAAUUGUAUUACAACACAAGUGAUUACUCAUCAAAACGGCAUCUGAAACUACCAGUGGAUAAAGUGGAUAUUGCCGUUACAGGCAGUGUCCACAGUCUUUAGUCAGAAUCCAGGUCAGCUGUGUAACCUGGAGGGCCAGGACGGGGUCGACCUGCUAGAUCUGCAAUCUCCCUGUCCUCUGGGUUACCACAUUUUGUGAUCCAGUGGACAUCAUCCCAAUGUUUACAUUGCUUAUGAAUAGAACUUUGGCCCUCCUCCUGGGGGCUAUGGGGUUCUGGUAGAUAAUAGCGCUUGCAGUGCCAGGGCAUUGGGUUCAAUUACCAUAGUGGGCCAGAAUGGAAUAAGUAUGAAAAUGUAUACACUCAGAAUUGCCUGUCACUCUACUAAACGAUAUAAACUAAAUGGACAUAAUAUUGUCAUGCUGUGUAACAAAGGUUAGAAAGUGACAAAACAGAGCUGCUGUUAUGAAACAUUAAGAGGACAGUACUAUUCUUGUACAUGUGGGAGAUCUUAAAACUGUAUUGUAUAAUAACACCAAUACAAGAACAAAGUAUGGCAAGAAAACUUUUGGCUUUGCUGUCAUCUUUGAACACAGAAGAAGCUGAAAUUA